rnacentral:rRNA from 1 species
UACGGAGGAUGCGAGCGUUAUCCGGAUUUAUUGGGUUUAAAGGGUGCGCAGGCGGCACGGCAAGCCGGCGGUCAAAUCGCGGGGCUCAACCCCGCCCAGCCGUCGGAACUGCCGGGCUAGAGUGGGCGAGAAGUGCGCGGAAUGCGUGGUGUAGCGGUGAAAUGCAUAGAUAUCACGCAGAACUCCGAUUGCGAAGGCAGCGCACCGGCGCCCUACUGACGCUGAGGCUCGAAAGCGUGGGGAGCAAACAGG